CUCGACCUCAGAUCANACGAGANGACCCGCUGAAUUUAAGCAUAUUANUAAGUGGAGGAAAAGAAACUAACCAGGAUUCCCUCAGUAGCGGCGAGCGAAGAGGGAGGAGCCCAGCACCGAAUCCCCGCCCGCCCGGCGGCCGGGACCUGUGGUGUACAGAAGAGCGCCUGCCCGGCGUCGCUCGGGGGCCUGAGUCCUUNUGAUCGAGGCUCAGCCCGUGGACGGUGUGAGGCCGGUAACGNNCCCCCGUCGCGCCGGGGCUCGCUCUUCCCGGAGUCGGGUUGUUUGGGAAUNCAGCCCAAAGCGGGUGGUAAACUCCAUCUNAGGCUAAANACCGGCACGAGACCGAUAGUNGACAAGUACCUUNAGGGAAAGU
rnacentral:rRNA from 1 species